ACACUGUUGUGGUUUUACAUAGACUUCAUCAAACAUCUUAAUCCCAUUCCACAACCCGAACAAGGGGUCCAACAACGUUCUUAAUAUUGAAAUUAGGGUGCUCCCACUCCACUGCUUCCCACCAAUCUAAUGGACGCACUUGGAUUCUCUGGAGAGAUUUAGAAGGAGAUAGUUCUCCUUCAUCAUCAAUCUCAAGCUGUGGAAGAUAUAGAGGAAUCCGCUUUAGCUUUGGACAAUCACUUAUUGUAAUGGAUCGGAGAGAAUCACAAACCAUUACUCCAUUUUCACUACAAAUGCGCUGCAAUUGUACUAGCCUCCACAAUUCUAACCUCCUCAGUUUGGGGAAAGGGAAUUUGAUGGUUUCAUUAUUGGAACCCAAUCUUUUUUUUCUAGGAUUCUGUUAUUAUUUCUUCCAAAUCACUAUAAUGCCUAACAUCCAUCACUUCCAGGUGUUGUUCCAAUAGGGUCGGAAGCGUGUAAAUUAUUGUACAUGUUCGGUAAAUUAUACCUACGUCCUCGGGCACUAACACCAGAUGAUAAUUUUACUAUCUUCAAAAUAUUACAAACAAAUAGAAUUCCUUAAGAAUUCUCAAAUGGGAGAAGAAAGAAAACUAAGAGAGAAAGAUUGGUUGGGAUGGUGUAAAUGAGAAAUGGUUAGGUUUAUUUAUAGUUGAGGUUCAGGGAUUAACUUGUAAAUGGCCUAAAAAAUUAGGGACCAAAAUUGCAAUUAUCCCAUUCAACUUUAAACAACUUGCCUAUCAUUCUUUCCUUUCGGUGCCACUUGCACCUCCCAUUUUUUUGACUUUUCAACACCCCUUUUAAUUUGACUUUUCAACACCAGGUUGCUUAGAACCCAAUCAGCUGAAAACAAUUUCUUAAUUUUGUCGCAAUUCCAUAGAGUGAUCUCUUUGAGGGAGGAAAAUCUGCCGACUGAUGAUUCUCCAGCUCCAACUUCAACUAUGACUUUCAAAUUCUCUAACUCAAUUAGAUCCAGAGACUCGAGUUUUUGAAGCUGAUCACUGUGGGAUGAAAUUACAGAUUCCAACUCACUACAACCACGAAGUUCACAUUUUUUCAAAUCAGUUGCAUCCCUCAAUCCAAUAUCGUUUAUACUUCUCACACCCCUGCACUCUAGUAGACUUAAUUCCUUGAUGCCGUAUGGAAGUAUAAUUUCAUCUCCAACAUCAAUUUUAAUCCCUUUAAAUCUAACAACAUUACUAAAUACCAGGGGACGAACAGAGGUGAUUUCAGAAACCAAAAUGGAGAGUUUAUAAAGCGUUUUUCUCUUACUUGCAAACGUGUUCAAGCCACACACGUUAUGGAACCAGUCCUCAAAAACCUCCAACUUAUUCAAUUCCCUCAACUCUUCUGCGCUUUCCAAUUUAAAAUGAACUGCCCAAUACUGAAGCCGGCAUAGUUUUGAGAGUGUUCCAGUAGGAAUCCCCGUUAGACGAAUGGUACGUUUAAGAUUGAGAUAUCUAAGAUUCACCAACAUUUCCAAACCUUGAGGGAUUUUCUCGAUUCCACUGCCU
rnacentral:lncRNA from 1 species